UACGGAGGGUGCAAGCGUUAUCCGGAUUCACUGGGUUUAAAGGGUGCGUAGGUGGGUUGGUAAGUCAGUGGUGAAAUCCCCGAGCUUAACUUGGGAACUGCCAUUGAUACUAUCAAUCUUGAAUACCGUGGAGGUCAGCGGAAUAUGUCAUGUAGCGGUGAAAUGCUUAGAUAUGACAUAGAACACCAAUUGCGAAGGCAGCUGGCUACACGAAUAUUGACACUGAUGCACGAAAGCGUGGGGAUCAAACAGG
rnacentral:rRNA from 1 species